GAAUUCAAUGGCUGCAGUAACUAUGACUGUAUGAAUGUAGCAUAAUCACUCGCCACUUAAUUAGUGGAUAGUAUGAAUGGCUAAACGAAAAUUUCUCUGUCUUAUAAAAUAAAAGAAAAAUUUAAAUUGUAGUUAAAUGCUACAUAAAAUUGUAAGACGAAAAGACCCUAUAAAGCUUAACUAUAUCUUAAUUAAAAUAUUCAAACAAAAAUUUAUAUAAAUAUUAAGUUAGGUAGUUUCAUUGGGGCGAUGAUCUCUAAAAAAAAACAGAGAUAUACAAUAUUAAUAAACUAAUUUAUUGUUUAAUUUAUCAAUUUAACAAUUACAAUGUAGGUUAUAACGACCCAUUAAUUAACAAAAACAAAUUAAUGAUCAAUAAAUAAAAGCUACUUUAGGGGUAACAGGAUAAUUUUUUCUAAGAGCUCCUAUCAAAGAAAAAGUUUAUCACCUCGAUGUUGAAUUAAGAUAACCUAAUAAUGCAGC
rnacentral:rRNA from 1 species